UCUCUUUCCUUCCCUCAAGAAAUCCCAUUGUCUUCCUCAGGCCCUCUUCCCAUCAGCUUCUUUCCGGCCACUUUCAUCAGGAACAGAUGCCUGGCCUACCAAGCCCUUGUCCAAAGUAACAGAAGAUCUCGGCACUUUGUUAUUACUCUAUCGCAGGCGAGGUUGGCUGCCGAGUUUCUGAGUCUUUGUCAUCGUCGUCCUCCCCUGAGACUCGGGGUCUUGUCGCUUGUGGCACUGGCGUCAGCGUCUCAAUCUUCACCAACAAUUUCUCGAUGGUGUCUUUGCCGUGACUUGCCUCAACUCCUCUGAAGCCUGCAAUUCUCGCUCCAUCAACAAUGCCAAUGUUCUCGCCAUCUCCGGUUUAUGGUAUCUCCUUCUGCAUCUCUGGCGACAAAAGUCUGACUUAGUUGCUGGUUCAAUUUCCAUUUUGAAUCUAUCUUGCUUAUAUGCUUGUGAUGGCUUUUUUAUUGUUUAAAGAUUAAACCUUAUCCAAGCUUGAAUGUGCGAUCUCCUGUAAGAAGACAAGAAAAUUCAAUCCAUAUAAUACGUCAUCA